AUUGAACGCUGGCGGCAUGCCUUACACAUGCAAGUCGAACGGCAGCGCGGGAGCAAUCCUGGCGGCGAGUGGCGAACGGGUGAGUAAUAUAUCGGAACGUGCCCAGUAGUGGGGGAUAGCCCGGCGAAAGCCGGAUUAAUACCGCAUACGACCUGAGGGUGAAAGCGGGGGAGUCGCAAGACCUCGCGCUAUUGGAGCGGCCGAUAUCAGAUUAGCUAGUUGGUGGGGUAAAGGGCCUACCAAGGCAACGAUCUGUAGUUGGUCUGAGAGGACGGCCAGCCACACUGGGACUGAGACACGGCCCAGACUCCUACGGGAGGCAGCAGUGGGGAAUUUUGGACAAUGGGCGCAAGCCUGAUCCAGCAAUGCCGCGUGCAGGAAGAAGG
rnacentral:rRNA from 1 species